rnacentral:sRNA from 1 species
UUCAAUUUGCGUUGGGCUGAUAAAAUGGAUAUGCGUGUCAAUACCGCCUGCGGUGAGAAUAAGCCCCUCGCCUGCGAUAGCUUCCGUGCCUGCGCCGAACACCAGCGAAGGCGUUACACCGUCCAUAAUAUCGGGAUUUCCCGCCUUGCCAAUGCCGCAAAUUUUGCCGUCCUUAAUGCCGAUGUCCGCCUUGUAAAUUCCCGUGGAAUCCACCACAAGUGCAGAUGUGAUAACGGUAUCGGGACAUUCGCUGUCGGGGACGGUGCAGGACUGUCCCAUGCCGUCACG